UCUGGAGAAUUCACAGUUAAAAUGUGCCAAGCAUUCUGAGCAAGUCAUUGUACCAGACGUUUUUCAAAUGUAAAUCCCAAAGGGUAUAGGUUACACGCAAGUGGCUUAUUGAGAUGGUUAUUGGUGGAAGGUUGCUGGAAUUUGAAGGGAAAGUGAGGGAGUUGUCUCCAGGAUUCUGAGCUGUGUACAUGUAUAUGUAUAUGCGCCAUCACUCUGCUCUGCUGCUAGCGAUAUAUUUUGAUUCUUUGGGGCAAUCCAGGCCCUGAGAUAUUUUCUUUUCCAAGCAAUCUGGCUUGUGAAAUUGCAGUGCAGCCAACAUUUUAAAAUCUUCAGAGUGCUUUUCAAGCAAAUUUGUGCUUGAAUGUUUUUUUAACUUUGGCGUGAGGGAGACAGUUCAGCAACAUCGACCAGCAACCACGGCCUACUCUGAUCCUAACUCAGACGAGGAUGGACGCACAAAGGUGACGCCACCGGCACUGAAGUCAGCAGAAGGACUGAAGGCAGCUUAAGCUUACAGUAUUUCCAGUGUCUCCGUGGAGUGGGUGGGGAGAACUACCAGGAAGAAGUCAGUUGUUUUUAUGCCGUAUUUAUGUAAUUGUUCAUUGGUAGUAUUGUAAUAAUAAUUUUGAUGUGCUAGAUAACUUACUGAACCUGCUACUGAAGAGUGUAUUUUGAAUUUGUAGUAACGUGAGGACGUGAAACAUCACCAAAAGUUGGAUAAAUUAUUGAAUUUAAAUUGGUGACGUUGUUCACACGGACCCUGCGGGGAGUGGAGUUACAGAGAACUUAGUAAUUUGGUGAUACUUGCGGAGAGAAGUUUAAUUCCACUUAUACAGUGAAGUUUAAGGAGUUUUGUUUUCAUAUAUUUUGGGAAGGUUUAAAUUCAUAGUUUGCAGACAGUGGUGAAUCUUGGGUAGAUUCAACCGUCCGUGAUAGUCCAACAUUUUUAUUGUAUAUUUGACCAGUGUGAUUAAUCCCGUAUUCAUUCGGACUUUGGAUGUGAUAGUCCAUCACAGCUGUAAUAUUUUCUAUUUAUAUAUUUGAUUACAACUCACAAGUGGUGUAUUUGAGAGUAAUUAACUCAAGCUUGAGGUAUUGUUGUAAGUAGGAGUGAUUUUUAAGUUAAUAAACUAAUUCAGAGAACA